GAGAAAGCUGAGACCCCAGGGCCGGUGAGCACAGGACCACCUGCGAGCGCUGAGGCCUGAGGUUGCGUAAACGCAACCCACGUGGGGCCCGCCCGUGGUGUGUGCUCGUCAGACCCGGCACAGCCUCGUGACGUCCUCUUUCUCCUUCGAGGAAUCUCUUCCUCUGAAAUCUGCCUUGUCGGGUGUUAACACGGCUGCGCAGUCUUGCUCUUAGCAGUAGCAAGGAAUCCGACUCCAGUCGAAGAUGCAGCAGAAGUUGGACGCGUGAUGAAGACAGUGGGCUGAACGGGAAGACGUCCAGGCCGGAGCAGGAGCUGGCGGGCUCGGGCUGGGCGUGCAAACAGCUUCGCAGCCACGGGAAAUGCCUCGAAGGCCGGGGUGCCUCCGAAUUGAGCCGCUUCCCAAAAUAAUCCAGGGGGCAGCUGUCUCGGCUUUGGAGACUGAGUCUGGCUGCCUGAGCGGCAGGAAGCCCCAGGCCCCACACCAGCCCCACUCUGGGAACAGAUGGCACGAGGAGUAUUUUUUUCUUUUCCUGAAGUCAGCUGGAGCGCGAACAGCUUGUCUGGAGAAGUGCCCCUCCCCCUCCCUUUUGGCAGCAGAUCAAAGCCGCCGCCGCCCCUCCCCCAGCCCCUGGCCUCCUUCCCUUUAGGACCCAGGCAGCCGAGGUGGAGGGGCCUCACAGGCCUUUCUCACUGUCGGGUUUAACCCAGGGAGCAGCAGGGGCCCCUCGGUCCCUGGGAGCCAGGGCUGAGCUAGGGCAGCAGAUGCGGGAGGCAUGGCUGGUUGGAAAAUGGACAAUGGGGAUGUCGCAGAAAUGAUUCUUCUUGGAAGAGCGGGCCAGCUGACCUGGGUUGGCCAACAGCUGCAUGCAUUCAUUCAUUUAUCUGCCAGCGUUCCAGUCGAUUGGUAUGCUUACUGGCUGCAGACGGACUCAGCAGCGGGCAGGACACAUGGCUAGAAUGUUUCCCAGCCUCCCUUGCAAUCUGACAAGACUGCGUAAGUGAGUCCUAGUCCACAAAAUGUGAAGGAAGUAAGAUGCUACACUGCCGGGCCUCGUCCCCACACCUGCUCCCCUGCAUGACCCUGGGUGCCCCAUGGUGCCCGGGGAUGACCGGAUGACGCAGACAAGUGGGGAUAGGGGAGGCCACGUGCUGAAGAUGGUGGAGCCACAGGGGGAACCUCCCUGACAGGAGAGCUGCCUGCCGUCAGGGACCCCCGCUUUGAACCGCCCCUGAGCAGGAAGGGCUCGCCCUCGCUUCCACGUGGAGUCUGCACAGCAACUGGUGGCAUCUGGACCGAAGCAGCUGCAUCGACUCUGCCG
rnacentral:lncRNA from 1 species